GUGUCGUGAGAUGUUGGGUUAAGUCCCGCAACGAGCGCAACCCUUGUUCCUAGUUGCCAGCAUUGAGUUGGGCACUCUAGGGAGACUGCCGGUGACAAACCGGAGGAAGGUGAGGAUGACGUCAAGUCAGCAUGCCCCUUACGCUCUGGGCUACACACGUGCUACAAUGGCGCGGACAAAGGGUCGCGAGCGCGCGAGCGUGAGCCAAUCCCAAAAACCGCGUCUCAGUUCAGAUCGCAGGCUGCAACUCGCCUGCGUGAAGGCGGAAUCGCUAGUAAUCGCAGAUCAGCAUGCUGCGGUGAAUACGUUCCCGGGCCUUGUACACACCGCCCGUCACACCAUGGGAGCUGGCCAUGCCCGAAGUCGGAGCACCCGCCGAAAGCAGGGCUGGUGACUGGGGUGAAGUCGUAACAAGGUACCGUACCGGAAGGUGCGGCUGGAUCACCUCCUUU
rnacentral:rRNA from 1 species